rnacentral:rRNA from 1 species
GUCCAUACCGUAAACUAUGUAUACUUGAUGUAACCGGACUCAACCCUGGUUGUGUCGAAGCUAACGCGAUAAGUAUACCGCCUGGGAAGUACGCUCGCAAGGGUGAAACUCAAAAAGAAUUGACGGGGACCCGCACAAGCAGUGGAGCAUGUGGUUUAAUUCGAUGCAACGCGAAGAACCUUACCCAGGUUUGACAUGCACUAGACGUAUCUAGAAAUAGGUAUUCCCUUCGGGGCUGGUGCACAGGUGCUGCAUGGCUGUCGU